rnacentral:rRNA from 1 species
GAUGAACGCUGGCGGCGUGCCUAAUACAUGCAAGUCGAGCGAAUGGAUUAAGAGCUUGCUCUUAUGAAGUUAGCGGCGGACGGGUGAGUAACACGUGGGUAACCUGCCCAUAAGACUGGGAUAACUCCGGGAAACCGGGGCUAAUACCGGAUAACAUUUUGAACCGCAUGGUUCGAAAUUGAAAGGCGGCUUCGGCUGUCACUUAUGGAUGGACCCGCGUCGCAUUAGCUAGUUGGUGAGGUAACGGCUCACCAAGGCAACGAUGCGUAGCCGACCAGGGAGGGUGAUCGGCAACACUGGGACUGAGACACGGCCCAGACUCCUACGGGAGGCAGCAGUAGGGAAUCUGCCGCAAUGGACGAAAGUCUGACGGAGCAACGCCGCGUGAGUGAUGAAGGCUUUCGGGUCGUAAAACUCUGUUGUUAGGGAAGAACAAGUGCUAGUUGAAUAAGCUGGCACCUUGACGGUACCUAACCAGAAAGCCACGGCUAACUACGUGCCAGCCGCCGCAGUAA